CCUAGAACUUGCUUUGUAGACCAGGCUGGCCUCAAACUCACAGACAUCUGCCUGCCUCUGCCUCCUGAGUGCUGGGAU
rnacentral:miRNA from 1 species